UGCCAGCCGCCGCGGUAAUACGGAGGGUGCAAGCGUUGUUCGGAAUCAUUGGGCGUAAAGCGCGUGUAGGCGGCUUGGCAAGUCGGAUGUGAAAUCCCGGGGCCCAACCCCGGAACUGCAUUCGAAACUGCUUCGCUAGAGUCUCGGAGAGGAGAGCGGAAUUCCCGGUGUAGAGGUGAAAUUCGUAGAUAUCGGGAGGAACACCAGUGGCGAAGGCGGCUCUCUGGACGAUGACUGACGCUGAGACGCGAAAGCGUGGGGAGCAAACAGGAUUAGAUAC
rnacentral:rRNA from 1 species